CCUUACCUGGCCUUGACAUACUAAGAACUUUCCAGAGAUGGAUUGGGUGCCUUCGGGAACUUAGAUACAGGUGCUGCAUGGCUGUCGUCAGCUCGUGUCGUGAGAUGUUGGGUUAAGUCCCGCAACGAGCGCAACCCUUUUCCUUAUUUGCCAGCGGGUUAAGCCGGGAACUUUAAGGAUACUGCCAGUGACAAACUGGAGGAAGGCGGGACGACGUCAAGUCAUCAUGGCCCUUACGGCCAGGGCUACACACGUGCUACAAUGGUCGGUACAAAGGGUUGCUACCUCGCGAGAGGAUGCUAAUCUCAAAAAGCCGAUCGUAGUCCGGAUCGCAGUCUGCAACUCGACUGCGUGAAGUCGGAAUCGCUAGUAAUCGCGGAUCAGAAUGCCGCGGUGAAUACGUUCCCGGGCCUUGUACACACCGCCCGUCACACCAUGGGAGUUUGUUGCACCAGAAGUAGGUAGUCUAACCGCAAGGAGGACGCUUACCACGGUGUGGCCGAUGACUGGGGUGAAGUCGUAACAAGGUAAGCGUAGAUGA
rnacentral:rRNA from 1 species